AUGGAAGUGGAGAAGAGCAGGAGGAGCUGCUUCACCCAGACCUCCUGUUUGGGUGAAGAUUUAGGUGAAGACUCGCAGCUGGAGUAUGUCAGUGCUCAGGAGGAGUAUGAGGAGGAUAAGAACAACUCCAGUGAGUUCUCUGAGCAGGGGCAGGUUGCAGAGGUGGAGGACGUGCCGCUGGCUGGUGACAAGGUGCCAGCCCCGAUCGCAGCAGGGGGAGAAGAGCCUGGGAAGAGCGAAAGACCCACCCAGAGCGUGGCAGUGGAGCCAGACAUCCCUUUCCUGCCCGCCGGUGAGAAGGCCCAGCUCUGCAGACACGCGGAGCCCUCCUAUUUCAGCGGCUGUGAGAAACCUGCGGUGCGCACCCGUGGUGGCAGCGGUGCUGAGAGCACUGCAGGGGGUGCUGGAGCCCCGCUCCCAGCCCCUGAAACCCUCCCCAGCAAGAGCCCUGCUGCCGGCGUGGAAGCUGCGGAGAAAUCCUCUAGUGGGAGCCCCAGUGCUGGGAAUUGGGAGCGUGGUGAAGCCCCGAGGAGCAUUCCCAGUGUCUCUGUGGCUGUGCAGGCUGUGGAUGAUUCCAGAGCUGGCUUCCCAACGAGCAGGAGCAGCAGUGCCCAGGUGAGCCUGUGCUCCAGGGCAGUGAACACAGAGGUAACCAUGAUGAACAAAGCUCGACCCGUGGGGUGGCUGGCUCAAACCUCCGUGGAUGCUGCUUCCAACACAGAGUGGUCCUUCAGAGCUCAGAGCUCACACCUGCAGGAAUCAAAUGGUCAUCUGUGUAUCUGUGACUGGAAGACAGACACCCACAGGUGGGUCCAGGGUUGUUCUUGGUUUGGAUUUUGAGAUUCUGGAUAAGUGUUUUUUUCACAAUUGAAGGUUGUCUGUUGCUUGGCAAAACUGAUGGUAUUGGAAGCUUGCUGAGCAGCAGUUUCUGCUGCAGGGACCAGGUGAAAGGAGCGAGCUGAAGACCUCCUGAAGUUGAACAAAGACCAAAGCAGCCUUGUUCUGCAGUUGCAGACUUCCAGAGAUCCUUUCCAACCUAAAUUAUUUCAUGGCUGUGGAAACAAAACAAGUGGAUUUGCAGAUCCACAGCGUUGCUAAGUUUCUUUUUGUUCUUAAGACUUCACUUUUUGGAUAGAAAUUACAAUGGUGCUUGUGCAGUUCCCACCUCUCUGACAAAACUGACUGUAAUGCUACAGUCAUUCUUGUAGGCUAAAUAGAAUUUUCCUUAAAUCAUAUCAGAAAUGCUUCUGGCAAGAUUCAAAAUAAAACACCAUGAAUGUAAACAAAAUCUUGAAGCCCUGGAAUAAACAUUUUGUUGUUAUUAUUAUUUUAAAGGCCAGAACAUCCCAGCAAGCAAACUGGGAAGAAUUCUGCAUCAAGCUGCUGUCAGAACGUCCUGCAGAGAGCAGCUGAAGCAGAGCUGCAGCUCCUGGCCAUCCAUUAUGAGAUGUGCUACCAGCACUGCUUGAAGGUUUAUGAGCUGGCUUUGGAGGAAAACACCUAUUUUGGGAGGCACGUGCUUUAAUGUCCUUUAAAAUCAAAUGGGUAACUGGUUAUUAGCAAAACUUCCUAAAUGGUACUGCUAGGUUCUAUCCAUAGCUUUUAGGAGUGUUUGUAAUUGGUGGUGGUGUCUAGAGGACCCCCAAGUCUUAUUUCCAGCCUUAAUAUUUUUUUGUAGCUUUCACAGUCCCAAAAUCCUGCUUUUUUUUUUUUCUUUCUUUCUUUUCCCCAGGAAUAAAACCCGAGUGAUUCACAGUACAGUUGUUAAUUUGUGUUUUGGUAUAACGUAGAGGAAUCUUGAAGCCUUGUAAAAUCUUUGGGCAUCUCUAGAAGCUGUAAAAUCAAUGAAAUAUCUUAAGUUGAUGUUGCUUUCUUACCCAUAUUUUAAUAGAUGUGAGGAGAAGAAUGAGUUAUAUUCAUCUCUCUUGCUGGUUUUGGAUGAGCUGGACAAUAACUACAGCAGUAUGAGAACAGAAAUAAACAUGGGCAUACCUUUAAAUGAGCUUCCACCACUGUCAGUUGAGCUGAAGUUUUCCCCAAUCUCUUCCUUUUACAUGCCCUCCAAGGUAAUUGCUUAACUGCUUUAUGUUUUUAAUACAAAUUGUUUUAUAAUUUAUGUAAUUAUAGAUGAAUCUUUCUCCUUUUUUGACAGUUUUUCGGAAAGAGUCUUUUCUCUGAGUAAGUAGUUUUCAUUUGUUGUUGUACUUACUAAGUCAAAUGAGGAAUGAGUUUAGGAGAUGUUAAACCUAUAAUUUCUUUAUUUCAAGAUGCAUGUUGUUGUUUCAGGCUGUUUAGUUGAAAGAUCAGCAUUGCCCUGUGGGUACAAUGACUUUAUUUUAAGGGCAUUUUUCCUCUGUGGUAUUCUAUAUGCAAA
rnacentral:lncRNA from 12 species